UGAUGUGAGAAUUCAAGUCUCUCUCAAACUUUACCUGCAAAUCGAAACCAAAUGAGCCGUUUGUAAACUGUGUAGUCUCUCCCAAGUCUCUCUCUCUCUCUCAACCAUAGUCUUCUUCCUUCUACAGUGAUAAACAGCAAAAAUGCAGCAUUCGAACUUAGCUGAUGAUUCAGAUUCAUGGCUUUCCACUGCUGCUGCUGCUUCAUCUGCACCUAAUUCCAAUUUGAAUCGUGACCUCUUCAACGAUCUCGUU
rnacentral:lncRNA from 1 species